CGUAGCCGACGGAGGCGACCGUAAGGAGGGCCAAUCCGGCAAGACUGAAGAUUAAGAUGGAGGCUGUCUGGAUCGGAGGCGCCACGAUUAGGAGCAGGUCGAUCAGGAUGUUCAGGGAGUCUGGCUUUACAAAUAAAUAAAUAAAUAAAUAAAUAAAUAAGUGUGAGGACGAAGAUUCUGGCUGCUACGGGACCUGCCUCCUACAUGACACUUGCUGGACCACGUUCAAAAUUUUAAAGAGAACGGACUAAGGUUUACCUACAGGGAAUAUUUAUGAUAGUUAUGGAAAAAACGGCGUGAAUGGCAAAACAUCAAUGAAAAAUACUUACAAGGUGAAGCCAGAAGAUUGGAAUGGUCAUGUUGUUGAAUAGUUUGACUCUUGGAAUAUACUUUGUGUUGUGCAUGACUAAGUUGAUUUGAACUUUCGUGUCAACGGUGAUUGGCACUCCCAAUUCCUAAAAAAGCAUGAAGAUAAUCGAAAUUUCAAACUGAGGUAGUAAAUAAAUAUAAUAUUUUCCUUUUAUUAA